CGACACGUAUACCCAUGGCAGGAGGUUCUCUUGCUUCCUAAUCGCAUCGUUUCUCGUGCCUAAAUUAUUGUUUGAAAAUUUCGAUUUGAUUAUUUCAAUUUGGAAGAUUCCGCUCCGAUUCGAAUGCUCGAGGUUGAAGACGAUUCAUUUAUAUAACUAACCGUUGGAGUACUCACUGAUCGCCAUGGAUCCAGCGAAGGAAGCUUCUCUGUAACUGCCAAUUGCAUCUGCUGCUGUUCUUCAUUCGCCUUAACAUAUUCGCCUGAUGUCUGUUCUUCACCGCCUUCAUUGACCGGGGAAGCAGAAAAUAUUUGUUCGUAGGCGAGAAAGAACUCACCACAGCGAAAAGCGGCGAGCCAUACAUUGCGACAGAUGCUACAAGUCCGACGCUGCCAACAAAUACCUUCAGGUGCUGGUGAUCAUGAAAAACAAACGUCGAUAGCAGUGCAACAAGGCAGGACACUACGAGCACAGUUACAUCGGUGCAGCGUAGAGCAGCAUCGAGGCAGCAUUCCCUGCAAGAAUCGUCGAAAAACAGGUUACUCGUUUUCAAGCUUUCACAUACUUUACAUAUGCAAUACGAACAAAUGAAAAUUUGUCGUGAAAGUACCUAGAAUGCCUACUGCAAAUCGAAAUCUCUCCUCCAUGUUUCUUGAUGCCGAAAAAUUACUCGGAAAACCUAAUAAUUAUUCUAACUUCUCGAACUACAUAGCAUGAUUGCAUCCUUUAGAGGGUAUAUAUAGUAGAAUAUCAACAUGCGAUAGGAGUAGCCGAUCGUGUGCAUGUGAGGCUCAAAAUACUACCUUUAGUGAGUUGGCAUGAAUGAAGUAUUCUUACUUAAGAGUUCUAUUCAUAUUUUUCGGUGUUGUUAUCAUAAAAGGGGCGAAAAGAUUGAAAAUUCUCGAUGUUUGAUUAAAGAUGCAUUCUUUCGUGACCAAUUCUAGGUGACAUUAAAUAGUAAGUUAGGACAAUGAAAGAUUUAGCCAAAUGGAUAUCUCAUUCAAGAAAGUCGGUAGUUGCAUUCCCGUAAAAGGAAUGCAUCGGCCGUGAGGAAUAUGCAUGGUCGAUCCGAGCAUUUGUUUGUUUCGUUUUGUCCUUCAUUUCAUAAGAUUUUAUUACUCGAUUCUUAUCGACAUAUGGUUCCGUUGUGCUUCGAAUUGCUCUGUUCCUUGUUGAUAGUUUUUUCUUUGUUGUUAAAGUUGUAUUUGUUUACCAUCUUCUUUGGGUUAAUCUCAACAACACUCUCAAGAGAAUUGGCCAAAGUAUAUAAUUAUUUUCCAAUUAAAAUUAAGAUAUUAAAGUAAUAUUAUUAAAAUUAAAAAAUUUAAAAUAAGAUUAAAAUAUAUAAUUUUUUUCUAAAAAAAUGUCAAAUCAUUUUUCUAGAGGAUCUCCUCUCCUACCACACUUUGAAUAAAGUAGAAAGAUGAUCGUUUUUUGUUUUUUAUU